rnacentral:rRNA from 1 species
GAUGAACGCUGGCGGCGUGCCUAAUACAUGCAAGUCGAGCGAACAGACGAGGAGCUUGCUCCUCUGACGUUAGCGGCGGACGGGUGAGUAACACGUGGAUAACCUACCUAUAAGACUGGGAUAACUUCGGGAAACCGGAGCUAAUACCGGAUAAUAUAUUGAACCGCAUGGUUCAAUAGUGAAAGACGGUUUUGCUGUCACUUAUAGAUGGAUCCGCGCCGCAUUAGCUAGUUGGUAAGGUAACGGCUUACCAAGGCAACGAUGCGUAGCCGACCUGAGAGGAGGAGGGGGAGGACGAAGACGAAGAGACGGGAGAGAGGCAAACAGGGGGAACAAGGAGGGAAGGUAGCGGAAUGGUCUAAGGACAGAAGGAGUAUCGCAGAGGGAAAGAUGAAGGUAUGAGAAUAGUAUAAAGCUGGAGAUAGGGAAAAAAAAAAGCGCAAGGAAAGACGAACAUCCAGACGCCACGUAAUCAGAAAGCGACGGCUAGUCACGAC